CGUGGCGGGAAGGGAUGGGCG
rnacentral:miRNA from 1 species